rnacentral:rRNA from 1 species
GACGAACCGUGCGAACGUUAUUCGGAAUCACUGGGCUUAAAGCGCGUGUAGGCGGGCCGGCACGUCGGUCGUUGAAAUCCCCCGGCUCAACCGGGGAAGCGGCGCCGAUACGACCGGCCUCGAGGGACGUAGGGGGGGCUGGAACUUCCGGUGGAGCGGUGAGAUGCGUUGAGAUCGGAAGGAACGCCCGUGGCGAAAGCGAGCCCCUGGACGUCUACUGACGCUGAGACGCGAAAGCCAGGGGAGCGAACGGG